UUUGAUGAUCAUAUAUAAGUUGUGGAUACAUGUUACAUACAACAUGUAUGGUAUACCUCUUCCAUUCCGAAGAUUAGACGUAGGCAACAAUUGUCGCUGUAUUGAACAAUCGAAUCAUCCGAACCAACAUCAAAAACUCAGUUUAGGUGAGAAUCACUUUCUAGUUUCAGCUAAUCUCUUAGAUGAAUUGGAUGUGGGCCAAAUUUGUGGUUUCAGUAAAAAUUUAUGACACUCUAAUCAGGAUGGUAGAGGAUUGGCACUCUCAUUGGAGAUGAAUAACAAUCAUAUGUCAUGACUGUAACAUUUUUGAAUAACCAAGUAAUGCAAGAUCCAAACUCCAUGUGGAUUGAGGCUUGCCUGAGCAGCCAUGCACUUUUGUUGGGCAAUUAAAGGUUUUGGAUUUGAUUCCUGAGAAUUUGGACCUGGAUAUAAUUAUAGUGAUGGUAACUUGGGAAGAAAAGAUUUAUACUCUCUUGACAUGUAAGUUUCUAAAAGGUAACUUCGGAAGAAUGGUUUUUGUCUUGCGUCG
rnacentral:lncRNA from 1 species